UCACACAAAUUUAUUACAGUAUCAGAAGCAUAAGAAAUGUUCGGAAUACGGCGUACGUUGAGUAUAUAAAAAAAUUUUCUCUUGUUUAUAAGUGCGUCUGCGCAUGCGCGAAAAAUGGAUAAAUAGCGUGAAAUAUUGCUUCCUGUGCUCAUUCUGCUGUGACCUCUAGAGGCGGCCACAUGGUAUCAGAAGUAAACUAGAGAUUCAGAAUACUGUGCAAGUUGAGUUUAUAAAAGAAUUUUCUCUUGUUUAUAAGUGCGUCUGCGCAUGCGCGAAAAAUGGAUAAAUAGCGUGAAAUAUUGCUUCCUGUGCUCAUUCUGCUGUGACCUCUAGAGGCGGCCACAUGGUAUCAGAAGUAAACUAGAGAUUCAGAAUACUGUGCAAGUUGAGUUUAUAAAAGAAUUUUCUCUGGUUUAUAAGUGUCGUCCCCUCAUGCGCAAAAAAUGGAUAAAUAGCGUCAAAUAUUGCCUCCUGUUCUCCUUCUGCUGUGACCUCUAGAGGCGGCCACAUCGUAUCAGAAGCAUAAUAAAUGUUCAGAAUACUGUGCAAGUUGAGUUUAUAAGAAAAUUUUCUCUGGUUUCUAAGUGUCGUCUGCGCAUGCAAGAAGAAAAUGUAUGAAGAGUAUGUAAUAUUGGUUCCUGCGCUCAUUCUGAAUUGACCUGUGGAAGCGGACAAAUCUUAUCAGAAGCAUAAUAAAUGUUCGGAAUACUGCGUACGUUGAGUAUAUAAAAAAAUUUUCUCUUGUUUAUAAGUGCGUCUGCUCAUGCGCGAAAAAUGGAUAAAUAGCGUGAAAUAUUGCUUCCUGUGCUCAUUCUGCUGUGACCUCUAGAGGCGACCACAUCGGUAAAUCGUAUUAUUUUAUGUAUUAAAUUUAUCUGGAAUAUACUUUUAUAGUUAUUCACACAAAUUUAUUACAGUAUCAGAAGCAUAAGAAAUGUUCGGAAUACGGCGUACGUUGAGUAUAUAAAAAAAAUGUUCUCUUGUUUAUAAGUUUCGUCUGUGCAUGCGCCAAAAAAGGGAUAACUAGGGUGAAAUAUUGCUUCCUGUGCUCAUUCUGCUGUGACCUCUAGAGGCGACCACAUCGUAUCAGAAGCAUAAGAAAUGUUCGGAAUACGGCGUACGUUGAGUAUAUAAAAAAAUUUUCUCUUGUUUAUAAGUGCGUCUGCGCAUGCGCGAAAAAUGGAUAAAUAGCGUGAAAUAUUGCUUCCUGUGCUCAUUCUGCUGUGACCUCUAGAGGCGGCCACAUGGUAUCAGAAGUAAACUAGAGAUUCAGAAUACUGUGCAAGUUGAGUUUAUAAAAGAAUUUUCUCUUGUUUAUAAGUGCGUCUGCGCAUGCGCGAAAAAUGGAUAAAUAGCGUGAAAUAUUGCUUCCUGUGCUCAUUCUGCUGUGACCUCUAGAGGCGGCCACAUGGUAUCAGAAGUAAACUAGAGAUUCAGAAUACUGUGCAAGUUGAGUUUAUAAAAGAAUUUUCUCUGGUUUAUAAGUGUCGUCCCCUCAUGCGCAAAAAAUGGAUAAAUAGCGUCAAAUAUUGCCUCCUGUUCUCCUUCUGCUGUGACCUCUAGAGGCGGCCACAUCGGUAAAUCCUAUUAUUUAGAAUAAUAAAUUUAUCUGGAAUAUACUUCGAUAG
rnacentral:lncRNA from 1 species